rnacentral:rRNA from 1 species
UCCCAGUUCGGAUUGUAGUCUGCAACCCGACUACAUGAAGCUGGAAUCGCUAGUAAUCGCGAAUCAGAAUGUCGCGGUGAAUACGUUCCCGGGUCUUGUACACACCGCCCGUCACACCAUGGGAGUCGGAAAUGCCCGAAGUCAGUGACCCAACCGCAAGGAGGGAGCUGCCGAAGGUGGAGCCGGUAACUGGGGUGAAGUCGUAACAAGGUAUC